rnacentral:rRNA from 1 species
UUCCAGCUCCAAUAGCGUAUAUUAAAGUUGUUGCAGUUAAAAAGCUCGUAGUUGAAUUUCGGGGUUAGUAGGUUGGUCAUGCCUCCGGUAUGUACUGAUCUCACUGAUUCCUCCUUCCUUAUGAACCGUAAUGCCAUUAAUUUGGUGUUGCGGGGAAUUUGGACUGUUACUUUGAAAAAAUUAGAGUGUUUAAAGCAGGCUAACGCUUGAAUACAUUAGCAUGGAAUAAUGAAAUAGGACGUUCGAUCUUAUUUUGUUGGUUUCUAGGAUUGACGUAAUGAUUAAUAGGGAUAGUUGGGGGCAUUAGUAUUCAAUUGUCAGAGGUGAAAUUCUUGGAUUUAUUGAAGACUAACUACUGCGAAAGCAUUUGCCAAGGAUGUUUUCAUUAAUCAGGAACGAAAGUUAGGGGAUCGAAGACGAUCAGAUACCGUCGUAGUCUCAACCAUAAACUAUGCCGACUAGGGAUCGG